UCAUAAACAACCAGGAUGUUGGCUCAGAAGCAGCCACCAUUUAAAGAGUGCGUAAUAGCUCACUGGUCGAGAGACGCUGCGCCGAAAAUGUCCGGGGCUCAAGCACGGAACCGAAGCUAUGGCAUGAUAGCAAUAUCAUGGGUAGGGGAGCGUUCUUAUAAGGAAGAAGCAUGACCGGAAGGACAUGUGGACAAAUAAGAAGUGAGAAUGCCGGUAUGAGUAUCGAAAAGAAAGGUGAGAAUCCUUUCCACCGAAAGCCCGAGGGUUCCUGAGCAACGAUCGUCGACUCAGGGUAAGUCGGGACCUAAGCCGAGGCGGAAAGCGUAGGCGAUGGACAACAGGUUGAAAUUCCUGUACCGGAUCAAGUCGAUCGAGCGAAGGAGCGACGCAGGAGGGCACAUGAUCGCGCGGCUGGAAGAGCGCGUCCAAGUGCGUAUGUUGCAGCAGAGGAAAACCCCUGCAGCUAAAAGCAGAGACAUGAUGGGGAGUUAAAGGAAACUUUGACGAACUCAUGGAUCCCACACUGCCAAGAAAAACUUCUAGCGAGACAAGAUCCGCCCGUACCGUAAACCGACACAGGUAGGCGGGGAGAGAAUCCUAAGGUGCGCGGGAAAACCCUCGUUAAGGAACUCGGCAAAUUGCAUCCGUAACCUAGGGAGAAGGAUGGCCCCCGGUCAGUGAAGAGCAGAAACGCUCAGAGCUAAAAGGGGCGGCAGAAAAGAGGCCCAAGCAACUGUUUACCAAAAACACAGGUGCCUGCGAAAGCGAAAGCUGAAGUAUAGGUGCUGACGCCUGCCCGGUGCCGGAAGGUUAAGGAGAGAAGUUAGCGAAAGCGAAGCAUCGAACUGAAGCCCCGGUGAACGGCGGCCGUAACUAUAACGGUCCUAAGGUAGCGAAAUUCCUUGUCGGGUAAGUUCCGACCCGCAUGAAAGGCGUAAUGAUUUGGGCACUGUCUCAACGAGGGGCCCGGUGAAAUUGAAAUACCUGUGAAGAUGCAGGUUACCCGCGACUGGACAGAAAGACCCCAUGGAGCUUCACUGCAGCUUGAGAUUGAAUCCCGGUGACAGAUGCACAGGAUAGGUGGGAGGCGCCGAAGCAUUGCCCUAGGGCGGUGCGGAGCCGAUGUUGGGAUACCACCCUUCUGUUGCUGAGAUUCUAACGCGAGGAGUAACGACCCUGCGGACCCUCUCAGGCAGGCGGUUUGACUGGGGCGGUCGCCUCCGAAAGAGUAACGGAGGCGCCCAAAGGUUCCCUCAGGCCGGACAGAAACCGGCCGAAGAGUGCAAAGGCAGAAGGGAGCUUGACUGCGAGACCAACAAGUCGAGCAGAGACGAAAGUCGGGCUUAGUGAUCCGGUGGUACUGAGUGGAAAGGCCAUCGCUCAACGGAUAAAAGCUACCCUGGGGAUAACAGGCUAAUCUCUCCCAAGAGUUCAUAUCGACGGGGAGGUUUGGCACCUCGAUGUCGGCUCAUCACAUCCUGGGGCUGGAGUAGGUCCCAAGGGUUGGGCUGUUCGCCCAUUAAAGUGGUACGCGAGCUGGGUUCAAAACGUCGUGAGACAGUUUGGUUCAUAUCCAUCGCGGGCGCAAGAAGUUUGAGAGGAGCUGCUCCUAGUACGAGAGGACCGGAGUGGACGGAUCAACGGUGUCCCAGUUGUCACGCCAGUGGCACGGCUGGAAAGCCGCAUCCGGGAAGGAUAAACGCUGAAAGCAUCUAAGCGCGAAGCCAACCUCAAGAUGAGACUUCUCAUCAGCAAUGAGUAAGACCCCUUACAGACGAUGAGGUAGAUAGGUUAUGAGUGGAAGAGCCGCAAGGCUUGGAGCGACAUAAAACUAAUAGGUCGAGGUCUUAACUUA
rnacentral:rRNA from 1 species